rnacentral:rRNA from 1 species
AGGGUUUGAUCCUGGCUCAGGAUGAACGCUAGCUACAGGCUUAACACAUGCAAGUCGCGGGGUAACAUUUGACAGAGCUUGCUCAGUCAAGAUGACGACCGGCGCACGGGUGAGUAACGCGUAUCCAACCUGGCCCAUACCACGGGACAGCCCGUCGAAAGGCGGAUUAAUACCGUAUGCAGUCAUAGACAAGCAUUUGAAUAUGACGAAAGGAUUCGGCGGUAUGGGAUGGGGAUGCGUCUGAUUAGCUUGUUGGCGGGGUAACGGCCCACCAAGGCGACGAUCAGUAGGGGUUCUGAGAGGAAGGUCCCCCACAUUGGAACUGAGACACGGUCCAA